GACUGCACAGAUGGAACAUGGAAAGGCUUUUAACAGAAAUGAAUACUUUCAGACCAGUUUUGAAGGACUGAGUAGGAGUAAACUAAAAGAGAAAAAGCAGGACAAAAGAAGCACCACUUUGGAAGCUCAAAGCCGCACUGGAAACACAGUCUUUCAGGAUGUCUGAAAGGGGCAAGUCUGUUUGUGUGGGGUAAGAAAUGCGGGGAGACAAACGGACAGUGGACAGAUUGCAGAGAGCUCUGUGUGCUGAGAGGAGGGUGCAGACCAGAUUUUUAAAUUGAGAAUGCAACAGUGAAGGAUUUCAAGCUUGGAGUGAGAGGGGAGACUACGAGCCUGCAGUGAUAAGGCAAAGCUGAAGAUUUCAGAGCCAAGGCCACACCCUACAGUUGCCAUGGAAUGGGGUGGCACAGUGGGCUUUGGAGGUAAAGUCUGCAGUUGAGAAGUUCAAGGGUAGUAAGUACUUAAUGCCAGGUCAAUCAUCCCUUUUAAGACACAGAUAUCAUCUGCAGCGUUUUCAGGAACAGUGAUAGAGAAGAAAAGCAGGCAGCUACUAGAUAUUCAAAUCUUCCGCAAAUGUCAUGGAGAGAGUCAGGCAGUUGGUAGAAGAGACCUGUAAAGCUGGGUACCAUAAGCCUCAACACAGGUGUUUUUAUUUCAAGGCUGGGGAGCUGUGCUUUGGAAAAGCAAUGAGGAGGUAACAGGAAGUCUCUUCUCCUUCUAAAUCCUGUGUUCAUGGAGGAGGGUGGGUUUUCUCCUCUUGAGAGGGAGUUACAUACAAGUUUAAGGGAAAAGAGUCUGAAGUUUCCAUCUAAAUGAUUCUGAAAGAAUCAGGAAUCAAAGCUGGAGGAGCGGAAGAGAUACAGGGAGUCCACGGAACCUUCCCUGCAAGCAUCAGUACAGAAGUCGAUGAUAAUCUGGAUGCAAGCCCAGGAGUGUGGAGUCCACUGACUCAGAAGACCUGCAUCUAAGGAAUUGGCUGUCCUUAUCCCUAAGAAUGAUGACUGUGUUUCCAAUUCCAGUAGACCCUUUGAUGCAUUCUGAAUGAAUAUUCCUUUUGGAAUUGAACUUCUAGAGCCCUUAACUUUGGCCCACUCUAGUUUUCUGUCUGUUUUUUUUUUAAUAAUUUUUUUUGUAAAGAUAAGGUCUUGCUUUGUUGCCCAGGCUGGUCUUGAAUUCCUGGACUCAAGCAAUCCACCUGCCUUGGCCUCCCAAAGUGCUGGGAUUAUAGGUGUGAACCAUUGUGUCCGAUCGCUCUCUGGUUUUUCUAACAUCAUGUUAUCCCAACUCUGUUCUUUAUGUAAAUUUCCCUGAUCACAUGGUUGUAUCUUGGCAUUUCAAAAUCCUUGACAGACUUUGUUUUGUUUGAAUUUUACAAUGAACUUACAUGACUAGGCAUGGUCCCCAGUUCAGUUUUAUAGACAAGGAUUCUGUAGGUCAAGAAGUGAAACACAACCAAUAACAGCAGGUGACAUGAUUUAAACCUGGGUCACUUUACUUAUUUUUUUCUACUCUAUCAUUAUGUGAAUCUAUCCUACCUCUGCAAUGACAGAUGGCCCUAGAGCAAGAACACUUCCUUACAUCUGGUAUACAGUCAAAAAGUAAAAAUUCCACACAAAUAAAUAUGGAAAGAAUUUUUACCUGCUCCUAUAGCUUCCUUUCAGGGACCUGGCACCCACAAAUGUUGGGUAACAGAAAGAGGACUUAUGUAACUUAACUCAAAGCAGAAAAGUUACAGAGACUGUCUUAGCAUAAUAGAGCAUGGAGUGGUCAUGCUUGGAUGUGCAAACUGUCUGAUGGUCUUGCACAUGGCUUGACCCUGAAUUACACUAGUGGGGCAAGUUGCCUGGGGCAAAGCAAACUUAUUGGACCCAAAGCUCUCCUUUGAGAAUUUUGUUGCCUAAAAGUUAUAAAAUAUCAGCAAUUUCAUAUGGUUCAGCCUAAUAUUUUAUCACUCUUCCUUUUUCUAUUCUAAAACAAUAAUUUUUAAUAAGGUAAGCUAUACACAUACAUGCUUUAAACAUACAACACCCUGACUAUCAUAUAGUGGAUAUUUCAAGAAGUAAAUGUUCAGCAUGUCUUCACCCCCACUUGAAGACAUAAUGUAUGUAUUAGGCUGUUAUGGCAUUGCUAUAAAGAAAUACCUGAGACUGUGUAAUUUAUAAGAAAAGAGCUUUAAUUGGCUCACGGUUCUGCAGGCUGUGCAGGAAACAUAUUGGGUCUACUUCUGUGGAGGCUUCAGGGAACUUUGACUCAUGGUGGAAGGUGAAAUGGGAGCAGGCACCUCAUGUGACUGAAGCAGGAGCAAGAAAGAGAGAGCGAGCGAGGUGCCACACACUCUUAAAACUACCAGAACUCUCUCUUGAGAAUUCACUCACUGUCUUGCCGUCAGCACCAAAGGGAUGGUCCUAAACCAUUCAUGAGAAAUCCUCCUCCAUGAUCCAAUCACCUCUCACCAGGCCCUACCCCCAACACUGGGAUUACAAUUCAACCUGAGAUUUGGGCCUGGACACAGAUCCAAACCCUAUCAAUAUAUUAGCCAGACACUUGGAGCUGUAUGAAGAAUACCCUGGUUACCCAGCUACAAAUGCAGAUGUUAUUGAUAAGGGAGGGGGGCAGGGAAGUGCUGGGAGGAGAAAGGCAGGUCUCUGGCGAGGGCUUCACCCCGGUGCCUGUGCCCACAGACCUAGGUAAGGGCAGGCACUCCUGCCUUUGCGCCCAAAUGUUGCAUUUCCCAAGACCACCCUGGCCCGCCACGCCCCCAUCCUGUGCCUAUAAAAACCCUGAGACACUAGUGGGCACUCACACAAGCUGCUGGACGUCCAGAAGACGUCAACAAGAGCACGCCGACAGGCAGACCCUGGCAGGCCAUCGACUGGCGGAAGGACAUGGAGUUUGGCUGCGUGGUUGGAGAAGAGCCAGGCCGCUAGGUGGCCUGACUCCAGGAAAAUACACCUUCCCACUCCAUCUCCCUUCUGUCUCCCCUGUCUGCUCACAGCUACUUCCUCUCAAUAAAACCUUGAACUCAUUCUCCAAGCCCACGUGUGAUCUGAUUCUUCUGGUACACCAAGGCAAGGACCCUGGGAUACAGAAAGUCCUCUGUCCUUGAGAUAAGCCAGGGGGUCUAAUUGAGCUGACUAACACAAGUCGCCUACAGAUGGCAAAACUAAAAGAGCACCCUGUAACACACGUGUGCCCACUGGGGCUUCAGCUGUAAACAUUCACCCCUAGACACUGCUCUUGGGUUGGAGCCCCACAGCCCAGCCGUCCGCAUGCUCCCCUAGAGGUUUGAGCAGUGGGGCACGGAAGAAGCGAGCCACUCCUCCUGUUGCACACCCUGCGGGUGGCGCAAGGGAACGUUUCCUGUUUCAUCAUCAGGGAUAUUGUAUCGGUGUCUUAAAUAACACUAGCAUUUUGACAUAUUUGGAGCUGCUACUGGGCCAGCUCUGUUUCCAGGCCUGCCUUUCAAUCUUUUCCUUGCUUCUGGCAUGAGUUACCAUCUCUUUUGAGAAAUCGGUUACGCAUUUGAAAAUACACGUAGCUAUACAUACUUUAAACAUAUCAUUUAGCAAGGAUGCUCCUUAUCGGACCGUCUUUCACGUUGCUGGGAACAGAGAACACGACAGUUCCAGACUGUUUCCAAGAUUGGAUGAAGAGAAUCAAUUGACAAUGCUGUGAAGAGAGGGAUUUGGAGCGUGUUGGGGGAGGUAGUGUUGACUUCCUUGUGCAAUCUAGGAUUGAGUGGGGGAUGCAGUUGGAAGGCAAGAGAAGUAAGACUCCUCCAUCUUCCUGUUCCAGAGGAAUUAUGCUGGAUCCCCCUACCCUUAAUGAGAAAGGAGGUGUUUGUGUUUCCAGCAUCUUUGAGAUCUGAUUGCUAAUGUAGCUACCUUUAAAGAAUUCUGCUGUUUACAAUAAAAGUGAGAUCUCCCUCCUCCAUCCUGUGUUACACAGCCUGGGAUUGCACCAUUGUUCCUGGCACCUUUGCAUUGCAGGAGCCUGCCUUUGACUUUCUUUCCUCUCCGCACAUCUUCUAUUCCUGCUGCUUCUCUUUUCAGAAAGUGCUGAGCUUCUAGGCUAGUGUCCCUCCCAAUGGAUGAAUAUUCAGCAAAGAAUGGAGAGCUCUCUACCGUAAAAAUCAGGAUGUGGCUGUUUAUAAAGUUAUUGCAUUUUUUUUGAAGAGUGGCUGCAAUUAGUUUUGGUGUUAGGCAGCAAAAACCCCAAAAUGUUCUUUUUGAUUUCGUGUUGCUUGCAUAAUACAGUACCCAUUUAGUGGAAGAAAUCUUCAUGGGUAAGUGUAUGAGUGUGUAUGCAUAAGUAUGUGUGUGUGUGUGUGUGUGUGUGUGACUCCACAUAUAUUUCUAGAGUGCCUUCUAUGUGCCAGGCAUGGUGUUAGUUGACAUAUGUAAUUGAGAGUAAAACAGUCGUGAUCUCUGCUCUUAACCAAUUUACAAUCUGGGAUAAAAUAGACCUUCCAUGUUCAAAUCUACAAUGACAUUAAUUGCAAUAUGAUCGUUGUUGUGUUUGAAUAAUAGCUAAGAAAAGCACAAAGAACUUACAAGGUGGCUUAACAGAAGAACCUCAUCUAGCUUAGAAGUCUGGAUAGCCCCUUUCUAAGAAAGCGGUAUGAGUAAGGAUGAAUAGGAAUAGGCCAGAUAAAAUACGAAGCCAGGAGUUGGAGGUGGACACGGGGGAGGGAGGUGACAUUGUACUGAUGGAGAGAUGUGGAGAGCUGAGGAGGCUGAUGAAUUUAGAGAAAGCUGAAGUGUCACUGGAUUGCAGUUCUUGAUAGGUAGAAGUGUUGUAUGAGGGGACGAAAACAAGGCCAUUGGAAAGGGAAGUUGAAGAUGGUGGUGGUGGUGUUGUGAAGGUAUUUAUAUUAUUGCAGAUUAUCUGAAGUGCAGUUUCCAAUGUUGACCAAAUUCAUGGUGUGACUGUGGAAGUUGGUGCUUGAGGUGAAUGAUGACAACUAUCAGUGGGUAUCAGGGUAAGGAACUGCUGGGUGAGGUGUUGAUGGUGCAUCCAAGUGAUGUUAAAUCUGCUUAGCAUGAUGGUAGAGUUGGGUGAAAAGGAGACUAUGAGUCGAGUGCUAAAUUCUUUAAGGAGUGACCAAAUGAUUAAGUGAGGACUAGAGGGAGAAGAAGCUCUUAUUGUCAACUACUCAAAGGAGCAACUUACAAAAGAGAGUGCAGUCGUUCGUCUGCAAGUGGCAUUGGGUAGUCAGGAGGACAUUGCCUUGGUUCUGAUACUGGGAUAUUUGGAGUUUGAUGGAAAACAUCUCCCAGCCCCUGCUUGAGAGGAGAAGCAGUAUCCUUAGGGGACAGUGGGUUUCAGUGAAGUCGAGAAACUGUGGUGUGUGUGUGUGUGUGUGUGUGUGUGUGUGUGUGAUAACUUUGAGAUAAUGAUGGGUUAGAAACAUGUAGAUUAAGGUAAGAAGAGACUAUCCUCAGGCAUUCAUCUAAACUUUGAAUUUCUUCUAGAAACCUCCUCUCAAGUCACAGUCACGUGAUCCAGCAAUUGCGAAAUCACUCUCUUCUAAUGUGUACCAUUUCACUUGGUAGCUCUUUCUGUUCAAUAAAUGAUACUCUAUAUAAUAGACACUUAAACAUUCUAGUAUUUUCUAUGCAAAUGUGUAGAAAAAAGUGUUUGGGGGUAUGAAGUCAGGGUAGGUAGGCUGAAAGAUUAUUUUAUUUAUUUAUAUUUGUUCCUGUAGUGCUCAUGUCAUUUAAAAUACAAAAAUUAGACAUAUAUGUUGGAAAAGUCCAUCAAAACCUGAAAAAUUAAUUUAUAAGCAUUUUAUGCUAUGGUUGGAGUUAUGAAUGUAACUUGUCUGAAGAUGCUUCCUGAUCAUUGUGCUUCAUUUUCUUCUUAUUUGUACUGUAAACAUUGUACAGUUUUUAUCUGACAGAUGAACAUUAGCACUGAAGAAGCAAAUUGAAUAAAAUAUAGGCAUUUAAGUUAAUUUAAAAUGUAAGUUUUAUUUUAUUUUUGGAUGGGGUCUUGACUGCAUCCUGAAAACAUAGCUGGUCUUUUUAUUACCUUAGUGUAAGCUGUGUAGUCAAAAGAAUAGUGGGAAUGGUCACUGUGUGUGGGUAUUGUUCCCGAGGUAAAUUCUGUCCUAGGCAACUACUAACCAAAGGAUCUUUCAGAAAUACUCUCCCAAACCACUGCCCACUGGAUAGCAAACACAGUAUCUAUUUUAGAGGAAAUUAUUGCAUUAGAUUAAAAUGGUUAAAUUGUCUUAACAUGCCAGAUCUUAUCUUUUAAUGAAAACAUUUUUUAUUAACUUUUUUUAAAGAAGUACAACUGCUCUUCAGAUUUCUCCCAUGAGAACUGGAGAUUAAACUUUGAUUUUUCUCCUUUUAUCCUCCCCGACAGAAGCUGUAUAUUUUGAGGAUAACCACUUGGUUAAAAGCAAAUAGCCCUAAAUAAACACAUAUACCUUAAAAUGAAUGAGCAUUUCGGGUAUAGUCUUAGAUUUCACAGUGUCAAACUGACUGGGUUGAGAAAGCCACCAGAAUUUCAUAGCUCAAAGUUCAGGUUUUAUACAGGAUUUAUAUGUCCUGUAGAAUAUUUUGUUUGCUGCAGUUUGAAAUGAUAGUAUCUUCUUCUCUAGGAAACUAAUGUUUAACAGAUAAGUGCAACCAGAUUGCUAACAGGAGCUGCAGGAAAAAAUUUCACCAUUUUGAAUGGGGUUUGUGUUUACCAAUACACAAAAUGUAUGCCUGUAUUAUCCAUUAUGUGAAAAUAUCCAUAAUUGUUAGAAAGAUAAAACCCAUGUUUGCCAGGAAAAAUCAAUUUUUUCCAUAUCUCUCUCUGUGCACUGUGGUUUUACAAUUUCCUUUUCAUUUUUAAUGGUGUUUUCUGUUUAAAAAAGCUUAUUGGAAAAAAUUAAACAAAAAUUGUAUACAUUUAUUGUGUACCAUGUAAUAUUUUAAAAUAUGCAUAUAUUUGGAAUGGCUAAAUGUAGCUAAUUUUCAUAUUCAUAUUUGUGAUUUUUGUGGUGAGGACACUUAAAAUCUACUCUCUUAGAAAUUUUCCAGAAUACAAUACUGUACAUUGUUAUUAACUGUAGUCACCAUAUUGCACAAUAGAACUCUUGGACUUACUCCUCCUGUCCAGUUGAAAUUUUGUAUACUUUGACAAACAUCUCUCCAACCUCCACCUCUCUCCCCACCAUUUCCUUGUAACCGCCAUUCUACUUUCUGCUUCUGAGAGUUCAACUUGGUUAGAUUCCACGUGUGAUAUUUGUCUUUCUGUGCCUGGCUUAUUUCACUUAACAUAAUGUCCUCCAAGUUCACCCAUGUUUCACAAAUGACAGAGUUUCUUUUUUAAGGCUGAAUAGUAUUCCAUUGUGCAUAUAUAUCACAUUUCCUUUAUCCAUCCCUCCAUUGUUGGACAUUUAGGCUGAUUCCAUCUUUUGGCUAUUAUGAAUAAUGCUGCAAUGAACAUGGGAGUGCAGAUAUCUCUUUGACACAUGGAUUUCAUUUCCAUUGGACAUAUGCGGUAUGCUCAGAGAUGAGAUUGGUGGAUCAUAUGGUAGUUCUUUUCAAAUUUUUUUGAAGAAUCUCCAUAUGGGUUUCCAUAAUGGAUGUACCAGUUUAUAUUCCCAUGUGCAUUGUUUUCUGACAUUGAUAAAGCUGUAGAUCUAUUCAUUUCACAAACCUUUAUUGUGUGCUUACUACACAAAAGCAUAAUGGGAGGCACAGUUGAUACAAAUAAAAGGCACGGUCUUCCUCAGAAGCAGAUACGAUAACUAUUUAUUAAACAAAGAUGGCGGAGGUGGGCAACUGACCACAUGUGAGAAGAGUAACAAGGAGAGUGGAAUCUAGGAUGAUGUAUAUUUUGGCUUGGGCUAUUGAGCUGAUGGGGAAUAUAUAUUUUUUGAAGUGAAAUAUACUGUCACCUUAUUUCUAAGUAGGGUCAAGUUGGAAGCCAAAUAAAACUUUCCAAUAUUGGUUCUUCUAGCACGUUAAUAAAAUGUACUUUGUGAUUAUGAGCAGCUGGUUUGAAGACUGAUUCAUUUCUACUCCUGUUACCUUGAUAAAUAAGAAGUAAAUUUCAUGGACAAGAACUCAUCAUUUGAAAUAGAUGGUAACAGUUGGAUUGUCGUUGAUUACAUGAGGUGAUUUACAAGGAGGUCCAGCACAUGCAUGUAGUGUGCUAAUCCUUGCCACGUCAGUUUUCUGUUAAUUAAUACAAACGUUGUUGUGUAGUUUUUGGUAUUCUGACUCAAAUUGAGAAAAUGUAUACACUUUUAUAUACAUGUAUUAAUGUAAAACUUGCACCUGGAAAAGCAGAGGUUUCUAAUAAAUUAGCCAACAUUUUCUUUGAAGAAUUCUUGGUACCCUGAAGUACUUUCUCUAAUGAUUGAAUUGUUAUUGUUGGAAGCCAAUUCUCCACAGACUUUUUGUAUUUCUGUAUCUCUUGUGAGUGAGCAACUAACUGUCCUUCAUUCUUAACUAUCUUUUCAGGGAUAUUUGUAUUGUGAACAGUCUUGGAACAUAGAGCCAGUGUCUCUCUCUGGAGCAAAGGCCAGGCAUGCUCACUGCCCAUUAUAAAGGAUUCAGAUUCCCUAAAUUCAAUAUUCCUCUUCUAUAGCACAAUCACUGAACAUGUAGGUACCAUCUGGUUCUCUUUGCAUCACAUUGCAAAAAUGGAGGCCUGGUUAACUGGUACAAAAAAUGCUAAUACUUUUGCUACUGCUAUUGUCGUGAGUACCAAACUAUUCUUUGUCUGUGACCCAGGAGUCUAGUGUCUUCUACCAGCAUUCAUGAAACUUUUGUCAGGCUAACUUGUUAGUUUGCAAGAAGGGUGAACUCUCAGACCCUUCGCGGUUUUUGUUUUUGUUUGUUUGUUUGUUUCGUUUUGUUUUGUUUUUUGAGAUGGGGUAUUGCUCUGUCGCCCAGGCUGGAGUGCAGUGGUGUGAUCUCAGCUCACUGCAACCUCUGCCUCCUGGGUUCAAGCUAUUCUCCUGCCUCAGCCUCUCGAGUAGCUGGGACUACAGGCGUGUGUGACCACGCCCGGCUAAUUUUUUGUAUUUUUAGUAGAGACGGGGUUUCACCGUGUUAGCCAGGAUGGUCUCAAUCUCCUGACCUCGUGAUCCACCCGCCUCGGCCUCCCAAAGUGCUGGGAUUACAGGCGUGAGCCAUGGUGCCCGGCCUCCUUCGCAGUUUUUGAUGGUUAAUGCACUUUAGUGUCUUAUCUUCCAAUCCGUAGACUCUAUUCUACCAUAAAAUAGGAAACAUUCCAACUUUUCCAGCAUUGAGAGGAUGGAACUCUAAGUUGUAGAUUGACAUGGUUUGGCUGUGUCCCCACCGAAAUCUCAACUUGAAUUGUAGCUUCCAGAAUUCCCAAGUGUUGUAGGAGGGACUUAGGGGGAGGUAAAUGGAUCAUGGGGACUGGUCUUUCCUGUGCUAUUCUUGUGACAGUGAAUACGUCUCACGAGAUCUGAUGGGUUUAUGAGGGUUUUCUGCUUUUGUUUCUUCCUCAUUUUUCUCUUGCUGCCACCAUGUAAGAUGUGUUUUUCACCUCCUGCUAUGAUUCUGAGGCCUCCCCAGCCAUGUGGAACUGUUAGUCCAUUAAACCUCUUUUUCUUCCCAGUCUCGGGUAUGUCUUCAUCAGCAGUGUGAAAACAGACUGAUACAUAGAUGAAAUUACAAAAAGUCAAAAACUACUACAUCUGCUUGUCCUUGUGAUUGCAAAUGAAUAUGGUGCCUAUGAUACCUCACAUUUAUUACAUAUCACGAUUUUUGAAACCUCUCACUGAGAAAUAUUGGAGUGUAAGUGUACAUUUAAAGCAAUGGCUUUUGUGAAAUGUGAAUAUUUACUACCACUCAU